UAGAGAAUAGUAAAAUGGAAUUACAGGGAGUUUUGAUCUCUCAGUUAUAGGUUCAAUUCCUAUUUUUUUAA
rnacentral:tRNA from 1 species